CGGAGUGUGUUCCUGACGCCUGUUUACUAAGUAACCACCAGCCUGGUGCGUUUCGAAGCUGCAGAUUUUGACAACCGCCCGUCCCCCGCCUGGGCCUGAAGCUGGAGCAGAAAUGCACGGAUUGCGUUUUCAAGAACAAGAGCAGAGACUGAUUAAAAUUUUAGGGUGCAAACCCUUGAGGUGCUACAGAGUGCCUUUGCUUUU
rnacentral:lncRNA from 1 species